UACGUAGGGUGCGAGCGUUGUCCGGAAUUAUUGGGCGUAAAGAGCUUGUAGGCGGUUUGUCGCGUCUGCUGUGAAAAUCCGGGGCUCAACCCCGGACUUGCAGUGGGUACGGGCAGACUAGAGUGUGGUAGGGGAGACUGGAAUUCCUGGUGUAGCGGUGAAAUGCGCAGAUAUCAGGAGGAACAACGAUGGCGAAGGGAGGUCGCUGGGGGAGUAAUGAGGAUGAGAAGCGAAAGCAGGGGGAGCGAACAGG
rnacentral:rRNA from 1 species